GAGUUUGAUCUUGGCUCAGAUUGAACGCUGGCGGCAGGCCUAACACAUGCAAGUCGAGCGAGAAAGUCUUCGGAUGAGUAAAGCGGCGGACGGGUGAGGAACGCGUAGGAAUCUACCUAGUAGUGGGGGACAACUCGGGGAAACUCGAGCUAAUACCGCAUACGCCCCAAGGGGGAAAGCGGGGGACCGUAAGGCCUCGCGCUAUUAGAUGAGCCUGCGUAGGAUUAGCUAGUUGGUAGGGUAAAAGCCUACCAAGGCGACGAUCCUUAGCUGGUCUGAGAGGAUGACCAGCCACACUGGAACUGAGACACGGUCCAGACUCCUACGGGAGGCAGCAGUGGGGAAUCUUGCACAAUGGGCGAAAGCCUGAUGCAGCCAUGCCGCGUGUGUGAAGAAGGCCUUCGGUUGUAAG
rnacentral:rRNA from 1 species